GACGAACGCUGGCGGCGUGCUUAACACAUGCAAGUCGAACGGAAAGGCCCUGCUUUUGUGGGGUGCUCGAGUGGCGAACGGGUGAGUAACACGUGAGUAACCUGCCCUUGACUUUGGGAUAACUUCAGGAAACUGGGGCUAAUACCGGAUAGGAGCUCCUGCUGCAUGGUGGGGGUUGGAAAGUUUCGGCGGCUGGGGAUGGACUCGCGGCUUAUCAGCUUGUUGGUGGGGUAGUGGCUUACCAAGGCUUUGACGGGUAGCCGGCCUGAGAGGGUGACCGGCCACAUUGGGACUGAGAUACGGCCCAGACUCCUACGGGAGGCAGCAGGGGGGAAUAUUGCACAAUGGGCGGAAGCCUGAUGCAGCAACGCCGCGGGCGGGAUGACGGCCUUCGGGUUGUAAACCGCUUUCGCCUGUGACGAAGCGUGAGUGACGGUAAUGGGUAAAGAAGCACCGGCUAACUACGUG
rnacentral:rRNA from 1 species